rnacentral:rRNA from 1 species
ACGGGGCCGCACAAGCGGAGGAACAUGUGGUUUAAUUCGAUGAUACGCGAGGAACCUUACCCGGGCUUGAAAUGCAUCUGACCGGCCUUGAAAGAGGUUUUUCCCCUUCGGGGCAGAUGUGUAGGUGCUGCAUGGUUGUCGUCAGCUCGUGCCGUGAGGUGUCGGCUUAAGUGCCAUAACGAGCGCAACCCUCAUCAUUAGUUACCAUCAGGUAAGGCUGGGGACUCUAAUGAGACUGCCAUCGUAAGAUGUGAGGAAGGUGGGGAUGACGUCAAAUCAGCACGGCCCUUACGUCCGGGGCGACACACGUGUUACAAUGGGUGGUACAAAGGGCAGCUACCUGGCGACAGGAUGCUAAUCUCCAAAACCACUCUCAGUUCGGAUCGGAGUCUGCAACUCGACUCCGUGAAGCUGGAUUCGCUAGUAAUCGCGCAUCAGCCACGGCGCGGUGAAUACGUUCCCGGGCCUU